CAAAAACAUAGUUUCUUGAAUUUUUAUAAGAGGUGGUUUCUGCUCGGUGUUUAUAAACAGCCGCAGUAAUUUGACUGUGCAAAGGUAGCAUAAUCAUUUGCCUCAUAAUUGGGGGCUUGUAUGAAUGGUAUUACGAAAAUUUAACUGUCUUUUGCUUAUUAUUAUAAUUUGUAUUUUGUGUGAAGAUACAUAAAUUUUUUAGUGGGACAAGAAGACCCUUUUGAGCUUUAUUUUGCAUUUACUUUUUGUUUGUGGUUAAUUUGGUUGGGGCGACCUAGGAAGAGGGGCCGUAGCACUAUCUUCCUUUUAUUUUUAUAGAACCAAUAUUUUUGGAAUAUAGAUCUAGUUACCAGAGGGAUAACAGCGUAAUUUUUUUUGAGAGUUCUUAUUAAAAAUGAAGAUUGCGACCUCGAUGUUGACUUAUAGUUUCCUUUUGGUGCAGUAGCUAAUAGGGUGGGUCUGUUCGACCUUUAAUACUUUACGUGAUCUG
rnacentral:rRNA from 1 species